CUACGGGAGGCAGCAGUGGGGAAUAUUGCACAAUGGGCGCAAGCCUGAUGCAGCCAUGCCGCGUGUAUGAAGAAGGCCUUCGGGUUGUAAAGUACUUUCAGCGGGGAGGAAGGGGGUAAAGUUAAUACCUUUGCUCAUUGACGUUACCCGCAGAAGAAGCACCGGCUAACUCCGUGCCAGCAGCCGCGGUAAUACGGAGGGUGGCAAGCGUUAAUCGGAAUUACUGGGCGUAAAGCGCACGCAGGCGGUUUGUUAAGUCAGAUGUGAAAUCCCCGGGCUCAACCUGGGAACUGCAUCUGAUACUGGCAAGCUUGAGUCUCGUAGAGGGGGGUAGAAUUCCAGGUGUAGCGGUGAAAUGCGUAGAGAUCUGGAGGAAUACCGGUGGCGAAGGCGGCCCCCUGGACGAAGACUGACGCUCAGGUGCGAAAGCGUGGGGAGCAAACAGGAUUAGAUACCCCAGUAGUC
rnacentral:rRNA from 1 species